UAUAAAAGUCAUGUACGACAACGUUUCCCGGAAGAACGAACGCAAGAAGAGGUCUCGCAAGUCUAGCGGCAGCGAUGAGUCGAAUAAUACAGACAAAUCUCAUCAAUGUUGUGAGAAGUCGGCAUGCAGUUCUGCAUGUCAUUCAAGACGAUUCCGUCUACCGAAAUUUGAGUUACGGAAGUUUGACGGCAAUACGAAAAACUGGAUUGGUUUUUGGUGUCAAUUUCAGAAAAUCGACGACGACGAAUCUAUAGACGACGGAGAUAAGUUUCAGUAUUUAUACCAGUGCACUGUUCCAGAUACUCCGGCGCGAGAGAUCGUCGAGAGCUUUCCGCCGUCAGGAGCUAACUAUAAGAAGGCUGUUGAGCAAUUGAAGUCCAGGUUUGCACGUGACGAAAUGUUGAUCGACAUUUAUGUGCGUGAACUGCUUAAUCUUGUAUUAGCACAAGCAAAAGUUGAGUCCGCCUUGCCCGAAUCUGUUUUACGAGCAUGGCAGAGGUCCCACGUACUCGAGGAGAAGAGCGAGGAUCAUCUGAACCGGCUUAUGCAGUUCCUGAAACGCGAAGUGGAGUCGGAGGAGCGGAUCCAGCUUGCGCGUAGCGGGAUAGCAUCGGGUGACA